CUGUAAUGAUGAGCCAGCCAUGCUAAUACUGAUGCACCAGACAGAUUGUGUGUCUCUCUGGGUGUAAGUGAGUUAAACUCAGCUUCUCACACUUACACAGUGUGCUCUGAACAGA